AGAGUUUGAUUCUGGCUCAGAACGAACGCUGGCAGCGUGGAUUAGGCAUGCAAGUCGAACGUGAAGCCGAUGAUCAAUCUUUCGGGAAAGUGAUUCGGUGGAAAGUGGCGGAAGGGUGAGUAACGCGUGGGUAAGCUACCUUUAAGUUGGGGACGACCAGAUGAAAAUCUGGCUAAUACCGAAUGUGGUCUUCUGGCACAUGUCAGGAUGACUAAAGGCGGGGAUUCUUCGGAACCUGCCGCUUGAAGAUGCACCCGCGUGCCAUCAGCUUGUUGGUAGGGUAACGGCCUACCAAGGCUUACGGCUAGCCGGCCUGAGAGGGUGACCGGCCACACUGGGACUGAGACACUGCCCAGACUCCUACGGGAGGCUGCAGUCGAGGAUCAUUCGCAAUGCGCGAAAGCGUGACGAUGCGACGCUGCGUGGGGGAUGAAGGCCUUCGGGACGUAAACUCCUGUCAUGAGGGAAAAGUAUCCCUGCGAUUAAUAGUCGCGGGGCUCGAUGGUACCUCAAGAGGAAGCCACGGCUAACUCUGUGCCAGCAGCCGCGGUAAUACAGAGGUGGCGAGCGUUGUUCGGAUUUACUGGGCGUAAAGGGUGCGUAGGUGGUUUUGUGUGUCGGAUGUGAAAGCCCAUGGCUCAACCGUGGAAUUGCAUUCGAAACUGCAGAACUAGAGUGCAGGAUGGGAGAGCGGAAUUCUUGGUGUAGCGGUGAAAUGCGUUGAUAUCAAGAAGAACACCGGUGGCGAAGGCGGCUCUCUGGAAUGUUACUGACACUGAGGCACGAAAGCUGGGGGAGCAAACAGGAUAGAUACCCUGGUAGUCCCAGCCGUAAACGGUGCACACUUGGUGUGGGGAGAUUUAACCCUCUCCGUGCCGGAGCUAACGCGUUAAGUGUGCCGCCUGGGGAGUACGGCCGCAAGGCUAAAACUCAAAGAAAUUGACGGGGGCCCGCACAAGCGGAGGAGCAUGUGGCUUAAUUCGAUGCAACGCGAAGAACCUUACCAGGGCUUGACAUAUACCUGCAAACCCCGUGAAAGCGGGGAAUCCUUCGAGGGUGGUAUACAGGUGCUGCAUGGCUGUCGUCAGUUCGUGCCGUGAGGUGUUGGGUUAAGUCCCGUAACGAACGCAACCCUUGUGACUAGUUGCCACCGGCGGUGAUGAGCCGUCGAGCACUCUAGUCAGACUGCCCGUACAAGCGGGAGGAAGGUGGGGAUGACGUCAAGUCAGUAUGGCCCUUACGCCCUGGGCUGCACACGUGCUACAAUGGUCGGUACAAUGGGAUGCAAUAUCGCGAGGUGGAGCAAAUCCUGAAAGCCGGCCCCAGUUCGGAUUGAAGUCUGCAACUCGACUUCAUGAAG
rnacentral:rRNA from 1 species